CCAAAGGCUCUUUUCAGAGCCACCCAUCUUCUCACGAGAGUAGCUG
rfam:Monodelphis domestica chromosome 2, whole genome shotgun sequence.